rnacentral:antisense_RNA from 1 species
UUAAGUUGGGGCAAAUGGCUAUAGUGCAGAGUAAUGCCAUCACUGGGCACUACGAAUGCCAAGACUGAAGAAUUAACAGCCACCCCUCAGGCGCAGGACCAG